CUAAUGGAAUAUUGACACGUGUUGGAUUAACUAGACUUGGCCUCGCUUGAUCCCCGUAUGUGCUUGUUUGGGGCAGAAGACUCAGUUUCGCUCCAAAAUCCGACCCGCUCAAUUACAUCUCCAAGAAAUUAUAGAUGUUUGCCUCUCUCUCUCUCUCUCUAUUAUAGUUCUGAUGCAAUUGUGGUGAUUGCGAAGGCUGUAUUUUGUAGCCUACGAAGAGCAUCUCGACUUUGCAAUACAAUUCUUCACCUUUCCUCCUCUCUCAGGCCAAUUUUCUUACAUGAAGUAGCAAUUUUUUGUCCAUUAAAACUCAUUGUUCCACCAAACCCGAGAACCCUUACGUGGAUUUUGAGGCAUUUGAGCAAUGGCACAGUAAACAUGGUGAUAUCAGAAGGAAAACCCAAGUUUGAAACUCAUCAAGCUGGCCCACCAAAGAAUGAGAAAUGGAAGACUAAAAAAAUGUUCAAGUUGCAGAAGAAGAGAGAGAAAGAGAAGAGGAAAUCUGCCAAUAAGAGAGACCCGCGUCAUUUUGGUCUCGCUAGGAAGAAGAAGAAGAAGAAGAAGAAGAAGUUUGCUAAUGCAGAGGAGAGGAUUAAGUAUAAGCUUGAGAAGUUUAAGGCCAAAAUAAAGGAAGCCUUGCUUCUUGAAUGACUUAAGCACUAUGAAGUUUCCAAACUUCAGGGACCUGUGGUGAAACCACAUGAAUUGACAGGUGAAGAUCGGUAUUUAUGAAAAAAAAUGGCCCAGAAAAGGUCCAAAUAUGUGCCAGUUGGCAGAAGAGGAAUAUUUGGUGGGGUUGUUCUCAAUAUGCACAUGCAUUGGAAGAAACACAAAACUGUUAAGGUCAUUUGCAAGCCUUGUAAGGCUGGCCAAGUACAUAAGUAUGCGGACGAAAUUGCCAGACUGAGUGGUGGAAUCCCAGUUCAGAUAAUUGGUGAUGACACCAUAGUAUUCUAUUGAGGGACGAACCAUGUGCAGCCAGAAGUUAUGUCUCCGAUGGAUACAUUGUCCAAGAAAAAGUGAUCACGGUGCUAAAAGUUUCCCUACGAGUAAAUUUCUUCUCAAUGUACAAAGCCUUAUGGCUCUCUUCCUUCAGGGCAUGUACUCUUUUAAGAAGGUUCCAUGAUAGAGGAUUUAAUCAGCCUUUAGAAAAGCUUAAACUGGAAUUGUGGUUGACUUUUUAAGAGGUAGGCUUGUAAGGAUGUGAACACCUUAGCAAAUUAUACCACCAUUUGUCUUUUUUCAUUUGUUUUCCCGAUUCCCAUAACCCGUAACAUUGUAUGAGUGGUGAAUGGUGAUUAUCAAAGUAAUUGAUUCCAGCUUAACAUUGUAAGCAUUUGA